GGAAUGUGAACAGGGUGUUCACUGCGCGCCCUGAACGCACAUGUUCGGUCCCCUCCCGUCAGAGAACGCCAGGCAGCGGCUCGAGGUCAGACGCCCUCUCUGCCACCCCACAGAGCCCGCAGAACCUCUAGGUGGAUGACAGGAAAGUGAAGGCUGUCAGGCCAGAUGGGACUCAGGGCCAGGACCCUGGCAGGGGGGCUUUGAGAACCAAGUGUAGUUUAGAAAAGGAGGGGAACCAAAAGUAGUCCACCGAGGCAUGGAGAAGGCCAGGCCAGUAGCUGGAAGGGAUAUACGGUAUAGGAAGGGAUAUAGGAUCGCCACUCUCCGCCACUAGCCUCAAGAAGCGCAGAGUUCAGACCCCGAGAAUUGACUUAUUUUUAGGGCAUAUCGUGGACGACAAGGCCUGGAGAGAAGAAGGGAAAGCAGACGAUCCAGUUUGGGAUUAGGUGCUCUCUGACCCGCCAGGGAGUGACUGAAUGCUCAAGAGUAAGCAUUUAAUUCAUUCAACAAAUAUUUAUCGAGCCUCUGUGCCAGUCCCUGGGCGAAACUCUGGUAGCACAGAGGUGAACAAGACAUCCUGUUUUUGAUGAGCUGACAUUCUGAUCCUAGAGACAGUUGCUGAAACACUCAGAGAGAGCAAGGAAGCCCAAAGUGUUGGAGAACACACAGGAAUAACCCACAUUGAGGUGGAGAUCCAGGAGGGCUUCUUGGGGGAAGCUGCAAAGGGAUCUGAAGAGCCAGUAGGAGUUAGUCCAAAAGAUGGGUGUAGAGUGUUUUAGAUGGAAAGAACCUUGUGUGUGGAGGCUGAGGGAAGAACAUGUUGUCUGAGCGGCCCCCAAGAAGAACAUGGGCUUGCCCUCCCCACAAGUACGUACCAGAUGUUCAGCCCCUCUGAAGAUUUCCCACCACCCUGCCUUCUUGGAAAGAAUGUCCAGCUUGUCCCACACCAGAACCCGGCCAAGAAGAGAAGAUGCCGAGGUGGUGGCUCAUCUUCCUCGGGUCGGGUAGUGUCGGGAGAGGCCUCUGAGCAGUCAUCUCCGUUGCCUCACAGCCCUCCAGCUAUGCUAAGAAUGCAAACCAUUUCCCAUGGGACUGGCAACUGCCAAGCAAUUCUGAGCACAACCUCCCCAAAUAUCUGCUUUGCAAACAGAUAAAACAGAGAAGCAUCCUGAAAAUGUGAUCUUCAGCCAGUCACCUUAGGCAGUUGUGCAUGUCUGCUUGCCUGCUGGGAGUGUUUCUGCUUCCUGAGUCCAUCUCAGAAGUGUUGGGGAGCCAGCCUGGGAUGUGGCCGUGUUCCUCAAGCGGAUAAAGAACAGAGAACUCUCUGGAAGGGGACUCUCAAGGGAACAGGGACCAAGCGAUGCCCUGGGCUCCUUGCAGGGGUCUGGCUCCUAUCUCAGUGCUGGAGUUAUUGCUGACCAGUUCUAGGGUCAUUUGAGUGCCUUAUGGCUCCUGAGAUGUCUGGGCAUGGAGCUGCCUUCACCUGCAACAAGAAGCCACCUCAGCCAGCCUCUAGCCUUCCCAGUCUAUACCACUUGGGAUUUUGUAGCCUGAGUGAAUGGGGAUAGUGGCAGGGGCAAGGCCAUGCCAGACUUGGCAGAGUUGGGGGACGAGAGGAGAGGCAGAGGACAUGGCUUUCUGAGUAGCUCUCACUUUCCUAGAGACUCUAGAACACCUUGCUGCAUCACUGCAGGCAUGAUCAGGCCCCAGUGACCUACGUAACCCUCCAGACGUGGGGCAGAUGGAAGCACUGACUCAUCCCAGGGGAGACUAACUUGGGAAGGGUGGGGGUGGGGAGGAUUUAUAAUCUCAAGACAUUGAAACCACCUAAAUGUUCAGUGAUGGCUCAGUGAAUCAUGAUAUGUCCACAGGAUGGAAUAUUAUGUAAAAGUGAUUAUUGUAAAGACUAUGUAGCAAUACUACAAAUAUUUAUGAUAGAAUGCUAGGUGAACAAAAGGAAGAUAUGCAUAUUUUUUGCACAUGAACAAGAGAAGACUGAAAUGGACUUUUUAAAAAAUAGCUGUUUUGCUACAGCAGUGUGAUUAUGAACCUUAUUUUUAAAAAGAAAGCUGUGGCUUUAAAGUCAGACAGAUCUAGACUAGUAGCUAAGUUCUAUUUCUUACUAGAAAUGACCCUGGCAGAUAGCAUAAUGUGUCUGAGAUUGGUUCCUGAUCUGUAAAAUGAGUACGAUAAUUCCUACCUUACAGGAUUCUUGUGAAGAUAAAUCAGAUGAGGCAUUUCCUCCCUUCUCUCUUUCCUUUCUUCUUCCUCUUUCUCUCCCUCCUCCUGCUUAGUUUUCACUAAUACAGCACAGUGCAGUUAUCCACAGAGGCGUCUACCACCUUGGCAUUUGCCUAUUUGUGCUCCAAGCAGAGACGAAGCCCAUACGUUUGGAUGAGGAGGGCCAAGGAUGACUGUAGUCCACACAGCCAUGGAUAGGGAUGUUUGUCUAGUCUUGUGUUUCAGAGCAGCCCCCAAGCAGUAGUUAAGGCCAUAAAGAUGGAAGCAGGAGUCUUGGGGCUGACCUGGCUGGCACCACACACUGAGCAGACCCUUCUCUCUUCCACCUGCUGGGCUCAGGUUCUCUUAUAUCAAGUACGAUCAAUGGUUACCAAAGCCCGAGGCAGGUGCCUCUUGCAGACAGAGGUGAUUUCCAGUGAUUUACACUGUUUCAUUUUAAGAGUGUAACAUUUAAAUAGAUGUUCAGGAAAAAAUGAACCAGUAGUUAUAAGGGUACAACAGAUAUAAAAUGAUCUAAGCGAUAUAAAAUGAUAUAAAAUGGCUAAAGAAUGAGCUGAGAUAAAGGGAAAUAUUACAUAAAUAGUAGUUGGGGUUGUGUCUGGGUAUAUCGAACACCACCAAGGAAGCAAGGGAAUGACUGAAGCCUGAGGGUCACUGCUCUACCCUCUCGCAUGUGUCUGUCUCUUCCAGCGUCUGCGCCCCGACCCCUCCUAUUACAGCAGAGAGAUCUUUCUAAAACAACAACAACAACAACAACAACAAAAACCUAUUCAUUAUAAGGCAAUGACCUUAAAGAGAAGUCUAGACGUCUCUUUGGCAAGACCUCCAAGGUCCUCUGGGAUGGGACUUUGCCUGUCUUGCAAGCUUCCCGGUCACUCUCGUCCUCUUCCCACUUUACAUUCCUAUACCCUGGAUUUCCAAACCCAGCUUGCUGGCCAGGCCUCUGAGUCUUGGGAUACGCUGUCUCCUCUCUCUACCUGUGAUGUCCUUACCUCCUUGUCUGUCUUAAGGACUCCUAUCCAACCUCCAGAACUUUCUCAAGGGUUUCUUUCUCUUGUGAAACUGCCUUGAUCUCUUUGCAAAGGGUUAAUCCUGCCUUCUCCUCUAUCUUGAAGCUUUAUCAUAUGUAGCCCAAAGCUUCUGUUUCCUUGACUAUCUUCUUGAUGAGGUGGUCUCUGAGGACCUACAGCAUUUCGUUUAGCAUCCUGUAACAGUAGUAGGUAUAUGACAGGUGCUCAAUACUAAUGAAAAUACAAUAAUUAUAGCUAA